ACUCCUACGGGAGGCAGCAGUAGGGAAUCUUCCACAAUGGGCGCAAGCCUGAUGGAGCAACACCGCGUGAGUAAAGAAGGGUUUCGGCUCGUAAAGCUCUGUUGUUAAAGAAGAACACGUAUGAGAGUAACUGUUCAUACGUUGACGGUAUUUAACCAGAAAGUCACGGCUAACUACGUGCCAGCAGCCGCGGUAAUACGUAGGUGGCAAGCGUUAUCCGGAUUUAUUGGGCGUAAAGAGAGUGCAGGCGGUUUUCUAAGUCUGAUGUGAAAGCCUUCGGCUUAACCGGAGAAGUGCAUCGGAAACUGGAUAACUUGAGUGCAGAAGAGGGUAGUGGAACUCCAUGUGUAGCGGUGGAAUGCGUAGAUAUAUGGAAGAACACCAGUGGCGAAGGCGGCUACCUGGUCUGCAACUGACGCUGAGACUCGAAAGCAUGGGUAGCGAACAGGAUUAGAUACCCUGGUAGGAUAGCG
rnacentral:rRNA from 1 species